CAGUAUUUAACAAUGUGAUAUAUUCAGUAUUUAGUAUUUACCGAUGUGAUAUAUUCAGUAUUUACCGAUGUGAUAUAUUCAGUAUUUACCGAUGUGAUAUAUUCAGUAUUUAGUAUUCACCUAUGUGAUAUAUUCAGUAUUUACCUAUGUGAUAUAUUCAGUAUUCACUGAUGUGAUAUAUUCUUAAGCCAAGGUGAAGUUUCCUUUCUCAUCUCUCACUCUCUCCAUCUCCUCUCUCUCCUCUUGUUCACUCUAUUUCUCUUCCUCUCUCUUUCUCUUUCUUUUCUCUUCUCUCUCUCUCUCUCUUCAUAUAUGUCUUCAUAUAUAUUUAUUGUCAUGCUUCUCUACCUCUCUCUUUCUAUCUCCUGUCCUUUCUUUCUGUCUCCACCCCUCUCUCUGUCUUUUUUUCCUCCCCUCUCCACUGCCUUUUUUUUCUCUCUCUCUCUCUGCUCUCUCUCUCUUCCUCCCCUCUCUCUGUAUCUCUCUCUCCCUAUUUAUCCUCUCUCUCUCUUCCACCCCAUUCUCUGUAUCUCUCUCUCCCUAUCCCCCCCUCUCGCUCUCUCUCUCUCCCUAUUUCUCCUCUCUCUGUCUCUCUCUUCUCUCUCAUCUCGUAUCUCAAUCUCUCUUCCACCCCAUUCUCUGUAUCUGUCUCUCCCUAUUUCCCCUCUCCCUUUCUCUCCCUCUCUCUUCUCUCUCUCUCUCUCUCUUCUUCCUCUCUCCUCUCUCUCUCUCUCUCUCUCUCUCUCUCUCUCUUCUGCAGGAACAAUGCACCACCUGCUCCCCCUAAGCGAGUCGAAAAUAAUUCUGCCUAUGGUUGGCCGGAUGAUGAAUUUGUGAGUAAAGAUGGCAAACACUUAUUUCAUAACACAGGAACUAACACAGACUAAACACACUAACAUUUCCUGAUGUCACACACACACACACACACACAGAAAGGCUGUGGACAUCCGGGAAGGUGUAUGUCUGAGUUUCAUGUUAACAAACUGAGAAUGGCCACAUCUCUCACUUCUACCUCACACUCAUUUCUACCUCACAUGCGUGUAUCUGUUUGGGUGUGUGUGGUAAUGUGUUAUGGUAAUAUCUGUAUGUGUGUGGUAAUGUGUGUGUGAGUGUAUGAUAAUAUAUGUGUGUGCAGUAAUGUGUGUGUGUGAUGAUGUGAUGACGGCUAACAUGCUUUGGUCAAAAGCCUUUCUCCAAAACCCUCCACACAGUCCGUAAAACAAGUCUAUGUGGACCAAACUGGGAAUCUUCAGACAAAAUGCAUUCACCACAAUUUCUCAUUCAUACUUAACCUUCUGCAGAACACUAUAUAUUUGCACCACACUUUUCAAAUGCUAACACACUGUUAACAACACAUUCAAAACAGAAAGAUGGCAAAUGCUGUGCAUUUCUGUAGUAACCAUAUUGAUGUAUAUAUAUAUAUACGUGUGUGUGUGUGUGUGUGUGUGUGUGUGUGUGUGUGUGUGUGUGUGUGUGUGCCUUUGUGUAUGCUUGUCUGAGUCUGUGUCUGUGUGUUUGUCUGUGUGUUUGUCUGUGUGUGUGUGUGUGUGUGUGUGUGUGUGUGUGUGUGUUUAAGCCUUAAGGAGUGGGGUGUGUACAUGUAAGUGAUAGUCAGAAGUGGCCACAUGUUUCCUGUGUGAGUUUUAGUUGUGUGUGCAAUAGGUUACUCCUAUGUAUCCAAGCCCAAGUGUUGCAGUUUAGAAGAGAGUGUGUCUAUGAGUGAAAGCCUGUGCAGUUGUCCUUAGUCCACAGUGUGUGUGUUGUUGCAAACCAAACUAAACUGUGUGUGUGUGUGUGUGUGUGUGUGUGUGUGUGUGUGUGUGUGUGUUGUGUACGUGUAUCCCAUGGUAUUGAGGAUGAGGAGGAGGAUGCAGACACAUACGAGGCUCCUCCCUGCGAGCGGCCGGCUGUGAAGAUUCCAACUCGUCCACCAGAGGAAAAUGUCUACCUGGGUAUCUUCACCUUUCAACUUUCACCUUUCACCCUUUGACCACUGUGCCCUGAGCUGUUACCCACACACACAAAGCAUGGCCACACACAGGUUGCAAUCAAUAAGUCCGUUUAUCAAAGGCUUUAUAAAGAAUGUAAAGAGUGUCAGAAAGCACAAAUGUAGCUCCAGUCAGUGUCUAGGGGUGUCAGCAAAAUGGAAAAGAAAAGCCAAAUACCCUUGGAGAGGACGGGAGAGCCAGAAUGGAGGGAGCAGGCCUCUUAUCCCCCCUGCCAAUCAGGAAGAAUCAAGCACACCUGUGCACCAGCUCACCUGCUGCAGAGAGAGGGAGAGAGCGUCGGCACACAGAAUGAGCAAGGCCACACCAAGGCCAUCACCAUGAGAACACCAUAAGAUUAAUUACCAUGUAUUCUGGCAUUUGCUUCCUUAUGUGUGUGUGUAUGUGUGUGUGUGUGUGUGUGUGUCUGUGAUCGUGUGUUUGUGUGUGUGUGUGUGUGUUCGUGUGUCCGUGUGUCCGUGUGUCCGUGUGUUUGUGUGCACGGGUGUGUUUGUGUAUAUGUUUAUUUGCAUGUGUGUCUGUGUGUCUGUGUGUUGAUCCUUGAAACUGAAAUGCUUGUAGAUGGAGGCUUCACUGGAAGAGCAUCCAACCCUGUGGUCCCGAACAGACAGGCCGCCCCGCCCCCUCGGCCUGGGAAGAGUAAAAACAUAGUGAGUGUGUCCUUCAGUUUGUCUGUCUUUCAGUCAGGCUGGCUGUCUCUCCUCCUGUCUUUCAGUCAGGCUGUCUCUCCUCCUGUCUUUCAGUCAGGCUGUCUCUCCUCCUGUCUUUCAGUCAGGCUGUCUCUCCUCCUGUCUCUGAGUCAGUCAGGCUGUCUGUCUCUCCUCCUGUCUUUCAGUCAGGCUGUCUCUCCUCCUGUCUUUCAGUCAGGCUGUCUGUCUCUCCUCCUGUCUUUCAGUCAGGCUGUCUGUCUGUCCUCCUGUCUUUCAGUCAGGCUGUCUGUCUGUCCUCCUGUCUCUGUCUCUGAGCAUCAGUCUUUCAUAUCUGUAGCUCUGUGACACCAUUCAUUUGUCUGUGUGUUCAUUUGUCUUCCUUAAGUCUGUCUGCAUGUGUGCCCUUCUCUAUAUCUGUCUAGUCAUCUGUGUAUAUGUCUAUUUUUAUCGUUAUGUCCUAUCUGUCCCUGACACAAUGUGUUUGUACUUCUGUUUUUGAAUAACUUAUUUUUUCAUUCAUGAUGCAUGAUUUUUUUUUUUACUUUUCUCAGCAAAGCAAAUUUAGCAAAAGCCAUGUGUAUCGCAGAAGUCUCUCACAUUUCUCUCUCUCUCUCUCUCUUUCUCUCUCUCUUUCUCUCUCUCUCUCUCUCUCUCUCGCUCUCUAUCUCCUUUUGUCUCUCAUCCAUAGAAACCACUGCCACCUCCAGUAGAUCCUGAAGAUUUUUACAUCGACCCCAAUAUCAAACGUGAGGAGUCCUCCCUUCCAUAUACACACACAUUCUGUAGGGAGGUGUACGGAGGGAAAACAGACUUGGUGUUGGAAAAUAGUGCAUGGUGUGUUUGUGCAUGUCUAUAGAAUAUGUAUGGCUGUAAAGUGUGUGUGUGUGUGUGUGUGUGUGUGUGUGUGUGUGUGUGUGAAAAGGCAAACCUGAUUUUGAAAAAUGGUAGAAAUUGUUAGAUAUUAUUAGUCAGUUGCACCAGCGGUAUCUGUCCACAUGAGGGAGACAUCAUUUUUUCUCAACUCCACCUCUCUCUCUCUUUCUCUCUGUCUGAUACAAACACACACACACACUCACACAGACAAACACACACACACUCACACAGACAAAUACACACACACUAUGGCGUCAAACCAUGAUCCGCAGAAUGUAGGCAUAAGAAAGAUACUAGUACAAUUAAAAACUGUAAUUAAAAAACCUAAUUUAAAAUGUUCAGAUGUAAUUCCCACCACAUGAAAACAGACUCAGCAGUGAGAUUGGAAGAAUUGACCUGGAAGUGAAAACAGACUCAGCAGUGAGAUUGGAAAGAUUGACCUGGAAGUGAAAACUGAGGACUGAAAGGAGAGGCAGAAAUGUUAAAUUCUAUUACCAAGUUUUUGUCCAAAAGUGGUGCACAAAAUGUUGACAGACUUGCCUUGCAAACUCCCGCACUGUGCAGGGAUAGAAGGUAGAUAUCUUACCAACUGAUGUAUGGAGGCUGUAUGUUUGGCAACGUUGUCUAUUGGGUUUCUGAUUCCAAGCACCAAACUACAUAUAGUGUCUAGCCUGGGCAGCUAAUGGUAACCACAGAUGUGUCUUUACACCCUCCAGGUGACCAUAUGCCAUCAACAUUGAUUUGAUUGGUUUUUAUCAAAUUUUAACUCCCUAUAAAAGCAUCCCAUAAUUAAUAAAACCCUGAAUAAUUUUGCUUUAAAUUGGUAG
rnacentral:lncRNA from 1 species